rnacentral:rRNA from 1 species
ACGAACGCUGGCGGCGUGCUUAACACAUGCAAGUCGAACGGGAUUUAGUAGACAGAAGCCUCGGCUAAAGAUUACUAAUGAGAGUGGCGAACGGGUGAGUAACGCGUGAGCAACCUGCCUAUGACAGUGGGAUAGCCUCGGGAAACCGGGAUUAAUACCGCAUAAAAUCGUAGAAACACAUGUUUCAACGGUCAAAGAUUUAUCGGUCAUAGAUGGGCUCGCGUCUGAUUAGCUAGUUGGUGAGAUAACAGCCCACCAAGGCGACGAUCAGUAGCCGGUCUGAGAGGAUGAACGGCCACAUUGGAACUGAGACACGGUCCAAACUCCUACGGGAGGCAGCAGUGGGGAAUAUUGCACAAUGGGGGAAACCCUGAUGCAGCGACGCCGCGUGAACGAAGAAGGUAUUCGUAUCGUAAAGUUCUGUCCUAUGGGAAGAUAAUGACAGUACCAUAGAAGAAAGCUCCGGCUAAAUACGUG